AGCCAGGGCAUCUGCUCCAUGUUGUUUGGAUAUUCAUUAAGACCCCCGGCCAACUCACAGAUGGAGAUGAUGAUCUGCUGAGUCCAGAUGGUGCCUGUGAGUAAAGCAGGUUCCAGAUGUCCCUCGCUGCAGCAAUGUCUCCAGUUCCUCCUGCUGUGUUCUGAAACCGUUCCCAGUUCAGCUGAUUUGCCAGCACUUCCACAUUCUGAAGUUUGGGAAGGAAGAAGACGUUUGCGUCUCUUUUAAACUCCAGGAGGAGAGGGCAGAUCUGCUGUGCAGCACCGAUGAUGACCUGAACAUAUUCAAAGCUGAUCUCUUCGGGCAGGUGCAACACCUGAUUCUUCAUGAACACAUGCAGUGAGGUGACCGCCAGCUUCUCCACUGCAUCCAGGAAACAGUCAAGCUUUUUCAAACCUCCCAGAGUGUCCUUCAACACUUCAUCCAGCUCCUUCUCUAGCUCUGCACACCUUUCGUCAUCAUUUAGGGUUACCUUGCUCUUUAAAUAUUCCACAAAAGCCUCACC